AUUGAACGCUGGCGGCAGGCCUAACACAUGCAAGUCGAGCGGAUGACGGGAGCUUGCUCCUUGAUUCAGCGGCGGACGGGUGAGUAAUGCCUAGGAAUCUGCCUGGUAGUGGGGGACAACGUUUCGAAAGGAACGCUAAUACCGCAUACGUCCUACGGGAGAAAGCAGGGGACCUUCGGGCCUUGCGCUAUCAGAUGAGCCUAGGUCGGAUUAGCUAGUUGGUGAGGUAAUGGCUCACCAAGGCGACGAUCCGUAACUGGUCUGAGAGGAUGAUCAGGCACACUGGAACUGAGACACGGUCCAGACUCCUACGGGAGGCAGCAGUGGGGAAUAUUGGACAAUGGGCGAAAGCCUGAUCCAGCCAUGCCGCGUGUGUGAAGAAGGUCUUCGGAUUGUAAAGCACUUUAAGUUGGGAGGAAGGGCAGUAAGCUAAUACCUUGCUGUUUUGACGUUACCGACAGAAUAAGCACCGGCUAACUCUGUGCCAGCAGCCGCAGUAACAC
rnacentral:rRNA from 1 species